rnacentral:rRNA from 1 species
GACGAACGCUGGCGGCGUGCUUAACACAUGCAAGUCGAACGGAAAGGCCCUGCUUGUGUGUGGUGUUCGAGUGGCGAACGUGUGUGUAACAUGUGAGUAUCCUUCCUUUUACUUUGUGAUAUCUUCAGGAAACUGCUGCUAAUACCUGAUAGGAGCUCCUGCUGCAUGGUGGGGGUUGGAAAGUUUCGGCGGUUGUGGAUGGACUCGCGGCUUAUCAGCUUGUUGGUGGGGUAGUGGCUUACGAAGGCUUUGACGGGUAGCCGGCCUGAGAGGGGGGACGGGGACAUGGGGACUGAGAGAGGGAGCAGAGUGGAAGGGGAGGCAGCAGUGGGGAGUAUUGCCCAAUGAGGGGAAGCGUGAUGAAGAAGCGCCGCGAGCGGGAUGAAGGCCUUCGGGGGGUAAACCGCAGUAACCUAUGACGAAGCGGGAGUGACGGUAAUAGGUAAAGAAGCACCGGCUAACUACGUG